rnacentral:rRNA from 1 species
UACGUAGGGUGCAAGCGUUGUCCGGAAUUAUUGGGCGUAAAGAGCUCGUAGGCGGUCUGUCGCGUCUGCUGUGAAAACUCAGGGCUUAACCCUGAGCUUGCAGUGGGUACGGGCAGACUAGAGUGCGGUAGGGGAGACUGGAAUUCCUGGUGUAGCGGUGAAAUGCGCAGAUAUCAGGAGGAACACCGGUGGCGAAGGCGGGUCUCUGGGCCGUAACUGACGCUGAGACGCGAAAGCGUGGGUAGCAAACAGG